AUACGUAGGUGGCAAGCGUUGUCCGGAAUUAUUGGGCGUAAAGCGCAUGUAGGCGGUGCCUUAAGUCUGUCGUGAAACUGCGGGGCCUAACCCCGUAUGGCGAUGGAAACUGUGGCACUUGAGUGCAGGAGAGGAAAGGGGAACUCCCAGUGUAGCGGUGAAAUGCGUAGAUAUUGGGAAGAACACCGGUGGCGAAGGCGCCUUUCUGGACUGUGUCUGACGCUGAGAUGCGAAAGCCAGGGUAGCGAACGGGAUUAGGUACCCCGGUAGUCCUGGCCGUAAACGAUGGGUACUAGGUGUGGGAGGUAUCGACCCCUUCCGUGCCGGAGUUAACGCAAUAAGUACCCCGCCUGGGGAGUACGGCCGCAAGGCUUAAACUCAAAUGAAUUGACGGGG
rnacentral:rRNA from 1 species